rnacentral:lncRNA from 10 species
CAGACAGCAGAUCAUUUCAGCCUCCACUCAGGCGAAUGCUUAGUGGCUGGGAGUGUGCACGCUCUGGUUCAAGUGCAGUGAGGGUGGGGUACUAGACUCACCACUUCCUAGCUGUGGGGUGUUACUCCAGGCCUUUAAACUUUUAUCAGAAACUCAAGCCUUCAAGCUUUCAUCUCUUCCAUCUCUGCACCUCACAGGACUACCAUGAGCUUAAAUGAGAGCACACAUAAAAUAUGCCAGAGUAAAGAAGGCAUCCAAGAAGUUUCUUCAUUUCCCCUUUCCUUAAAAGUCAAACAUUUGGACUGGACACGGUGGCUCACACCUGUAAUCCCAGCACUUUUGGAGG